rnacentral:lncRNA from 1 species
GUGCGGACCCGGCAGGGCCCGGGCGCCGCCGCCGCGGCAGGGAGCACACACGCGCUCGCGCAAGCAGCUAAAUCCAUCAAAGCCCCGCGCCCGGCUCCGCGCCGGGGCUCCGCGCCCCUCCCUCGAGCUUGCCCACCCUCCAGUGCCAGCUGCAAUCCUGCGGCACCGGGUGGGGAGGGAGGAGGCCGCCGCAGAAGCGCCGCCGUCGCCGGCUCGCCUCUCUCGGGCCCCAGCGGCGGCAGCGGGCAGCGCCCAGAGCUGCUGCGCCAAAAAGGGCCAGAGAGCCGGUCCCCGCCCCCGCCCCGGCGCUCCGGCCGCUCUCCACGGUUCGGAUCCAGGGCCCCAGCCUUCCUCUCUCCAUAAAAGGAGGGGGAGUCAGUCUUUGGGGAAGGAGGGGGGCGGGUUUGGGGCACUCACCUGGCGGCUGCCACGCGCCCCCGCCCAGGAUCCGAGGCCUGGGGCAUCUGAAUGAGGACCCUCCACCCACAUUUCCACUUGGGAGCGAGCUCCAGUCGGGGAAAGGGCCUGCAGCCCGCCUCGUCCCCACCCUGGGACCCCGCGCCCCCCAGUCCCCCACUCCCGCGCCGAAGGCAGGGCCGCGCCCUGAGCCGGGAAGUCGAGGGGAUGGAAGGGAAAGGAGCCACCGGUGAGGGUCCCCCGGGUUCUGAGCCUCCCGCGUCGGGAUCCGUGGGGCGCACAGAGCGCCACCUCCGGCCGAGGCGCAGCUCAGAGCGCGAUGCGGGGGAGGAACGCGCGCGGAGGCCGAGGUCUGAGCGUGGCUAGACGGCUCCCACGCCGAGAAAGGGCGGGUGCGCCUGGGCUGGAUGGAUUUCGCCUCCCUAGACCAGGAGGGAUUGGACCCUGACUACAGGUCCAGGUGCUCGUCAGUGCCCUGCCAGGGGGUCUACGCGUCCUGGUACCGGGUCCAGCGGGGUGGCGUGCUGUGCAGACCCCGAGGCUAGACGGCCUAGGCCCCUGGAGCCCAGGAGACGCUUCCUUGGGUGAGCAGCGGAGAAUCCCGCCCGGCCCAGCCGUCACCCCCAACCCUGUCGAUUAAACCCCUGCCCCCGUCGCGGUCGCCCUCCCUCCAGACAAAGGCCGUUAAGGCGCAGCCCCGCGGGCGGUCUUUCAUCCCCAGCUAGGCCAGCUCUAGCAUUUCAAAGGCCGAAUCCGGAGAGCGCUUCGGGGGCUCUCCCCUUCCCCCAAAUAUUUGGGGAGCGACGCCUCUCCCUCCGCUCCCAGUGGGUCGCGUCUACACGCGCCCUUCCACACACCUGCAGGCCCCCUCCCCACGUCUCUCCCUUCCGUUGGCCGCAGCCCCACACCACGACCCCCGCGGUCAAGCAUGCCCUCUGGGUGGUCAGGACCAAGCGGGACCGGGACAGAACCAGGGGAGCCUUGGAAACGUGGAGGAGCCCCUUAAAGCCAGGCCUUGUCCCUCCAGGGGGAACUUGCGGCUUGGGAGGGGACACCCACUGCAUGGCUUCUGGAAAGAGCCGGACUCGCAGGGCCAGGACGCAGGCCGGACCCCGGCCUCAUUCUUCGGCCAGUUAUCCCGGAGUGGCGCGCAUCCUGUCUUCCUGGGCCUCGGACUGCUCGCGCGCAGAGGGGGCCCGAGGACACCUCUGUGGGGUUAGAGGACUCGGUAAGACGGUGUGGAAGGCAAGGAGGAAGGUCGCGUUGUAUUGGGGAUGGGGUACCCGUCCCUCCCAGCUUGAGGGAUCCUGGGGGUCCUCGCCGCCUCUGAGGGCCUAGAUGGCUGCUUCCCUCGGCUCCCCUGCCCGGCCUGGAGCUACGGGUGCGCCCAGCUAGAGUUUAGGGCCACCUGGGGACGUGCAAGGGGCGCUGGAGCGAGGCGGGGGCUGGGGCGGGGCGUGGGUGCUUCACCCGCGGGGGACGCAGAGCUUAGGCGAAAGCGGUGCAGGCAUCUCUCUAAUCGCCGGCCGCUAUUAAAAAUAAAACCGCGACCCGUCGCCAUGGCGACCACAACAACAGCGGCCGCGCGAGGGAGGCGAAAACUUGUGCAGCCGCGCGACAGCCGCCUUCUGGGGAGACUCGGGGCACGACGCACCCGGCGUGGGACUGGGACCCCCCUGCCCGGCCCCGCCACAUUCUCCGCCGGAUCCCCGGAAGACACAAGGAGACGUGGACCCCCACAGGCUUUUUUGGGGGGAUUGGGCGUUGAAACCGCAGGGCUGACUUAACCAAGAGGUCACCGACUUGGAUAAAAAACCCACGCCCGCGCGGACCCCCCUCCCCGGCCUUCGUUUCCAUUCAAACUCCCAGCGUCCUCAUUGCAGCCCCUGGGGAGGGGGACGGAGGGACGAGGUGGGUUUCAGGUGCUCGGCCCAGGAGGGGACGGUGCGACCCGGGCCCCGCCGGCGGGUUUUGCGCGCGGAGGCUGCGGCACCUGCCCCGCCCGCCCUGCCGCGAUCCUUGCAGACGGGGGCGGUCACAUGCUUCUUUCUGGCCAGGAAUCGAGUUUCACUUCCAGCCGCUAUUAGUCGGUUCACACAGUUCACUGCAAACAUUUGAUAAUGAGGCUAAAUAUACUCCCGCGUCGGAGGAGGCGUGGGCGUCCCCGCCCAGGCCCGGGAGACAGAGGCGCUGACCCCGGGACAGAGCCUGGCUUUGUGCGGGAGGCAGACGCGCCCCGCGCGCCGCCCCCGAAACAUUCGCACCCCAUGCUGAGGCGCGCGUCUGGGAGUCCGUGGGCGCCCCGAGGUGAGCCCGGGGCCCCUGGCGGAAGCAGCGGGGAGCUCCCGGCGGGUGCGGGGAGGUGCUGGUGGGAAGCAAGGUGCACCUGGCGGCCUGGGAUGUCCGGUCGCCCCCGGAGCCGGUGCAUCCGGCCUCUCCCGGCGCGCCCCGACGUGCCCGCGGGCUCAUAAUUACCGUGAGUCAGGUGCCCCAAAUAGGCCGAGCGAGGGGGGCCGUCGCGCAGCAGGGGCGGGUGGCCGGACGUCUGCCCGGGACUGGUUGCCUCCCGCCCCUCCCCAAGACCCUGGCACCCAGGGAGGGCGGGAAAGGCCUUGGCCAUUCCUCUGGGUAGGGGACUGGAGAGGGGAAGAAACUUUCGCCGAGUCCAGCGCUGCCCCCUCAUACCCAUCCCCACCCAGGCUGCGUGUCCGGGGCCCCUCCGGGGCUUGGCACCAGCAGGCACGCAGCGAUCGCCGUCGUUGUUAUUUAGUAGUAGUAGUAACGGCUGACAUUUACAGCGACGUCGAUGGCGCCAGGUGCCAAGCUCUUUCCUUGUAUAAUUUCAUGGACACUCACGCAUCAACUCUAAGCGAAGACUUGGAGCGGGGCUCAGCACCCCAGGGGUACCUCUGCAACCUCGGUAAAUAUAGACUAUCCUCAAUUCGCAGGGGCAUUUGUACGUGGGGUGUACAGGCAGGAACAGGAAAGACGCUGUGGCCACCCAGGAGUAGGGGCGGCAGCCAACACCCCCUGGAUCCCCAGUUCCAAGGUGCAGGGAGGGGGGCAGAGGCCAGUUCCCUCCGCUCUCUGCCCCUUGACCUUGGCCUUGGUGAGCUCUGUCCCUAGACUGCCCUGGGUGUCUGUUCCCUCAUCUGAAAAGCGUGAGGCCCACAGCCGUCACUGCACACAGCUGCCGUCACUGCACACAGCUGCCUCCACUGUCGGGAAGCCUCCCUCCUGCCCACCUGCCCAGGAAAAGCUGCGCUAGCGUGCCCUGGGCAAGCGCCCUGCUGGCCACCUGCCUGCACCUGGGUUGGGGGUGGGGGGACCAGCUGAGCACCCAAAUCCUGGCCUCUGCCCCCAGCGCCAGAGCAGAUUUCAGAACAAUUUGUAAUGACGAAACCCCACGUUUCCCUUUAUCUCUGGGCAAGGCUUUCUUCGUCCUAGGCAAUUAAUCCAAAAGCAACACCAGCCGAGUGGGCUGGACUCCUUGAAGAUCAAAACUGCCCAGCGCAGGCAUUAAUUAAGUCAUUAUCUCAGGCCCCCAGCGACUAGGGAUCAGGCCUUUCCAGUUCACACUCUCCAGAAAGGGAGAUAACUGCCCCGCCAGCAGGGUGGGAAGGCUCUCUCUCCAUGUUGUUUUAACUCCCUAUUAAAUCAUUUUAUUUUAAAUACACAAACAGAAAUGAAGUUGAAAAUAGCACAGGAGCCCACUAUCACUGUGUGAACAUUUUGUGAAUGAAGACAUGUAUGAAAGGAUGUUUGGAGGCUUCAAGAAACGAAAGCCGAGAGUCUAGCUAGACCAGAGCCAUCCAGCCCAGGAGCGAUGGCCACGUGUGGCCGCUGGACACGAGAGACGUGGCCAGUCCAAACUGUGCAGUGCGGUUGAAAAAAACAUUUUGGAUAUAUGGUGUUAAAUAAACAUGAUUACAAUGACUUUCGCUGUCAGCCUCCCGGAGGCUCAUUUUGCUCCUCUGGGCCACAGCCAGCUCAGAGGGUUGCUCUAGGAAAUAUCUACACGUUCUUGAAGCACAGGUUUAUGUGCCAGGCACUGUACUAAGUGCUGGGGACACGGCGUUAAGACCAGGCCCUCACGGAGCCCUCACUCUCUGAGGAGGAACAAUAAGUCAGAGAGCGCGCGAGUGCAGCCCUUCAGGCAAAGGAUUUCAGGCCCAGGUCAGGAAGGCCUUGUCUGAGGAGUCUGAGAAGAAGUCAAUUGACAACAGCUAGAACAUCUAGGUCAGGCACUCCAGGCCGACACGACAAAGCAGGUGCAAAGGCCCCAGGGCGGGAACCAGCGUGGCUUGUUCACAGAACAAGGAGGUAGAUCGCUUGCCCUUGGGACCAAAGGAAGGCUCUGGAUUUUAUUCUAGGGGCAGUGGAAGCCGUUGGAGGGCCUCAGGCAGGAACACAAGGUGUCGUGGCAGAAAGGAAGAAGGGGCCGGGCACGGUGGCCCACACCCGUCAUCCCAGCACUUUGGGAGGGAGGCCAAGGCAGGAGGAUCGCUUCAAUCCAGGAGUUCAAGAUCAGCCUGGGCAACACAGCAAGACCCCGUCUCUACUAAAACCCUAAAACUUAGCCAGGCUUGGUGGCAUGUGCCUAAGGUCCCAGGUCCUCGGGAGACUAAGGCAGGAGGAUUGCUUAAGCCCAAGAGUUUGAGGCUGCAGUGAACUAUUAUCACACCACUGCACUCAGCCUGGGUGACAGAGUGACUCUGUCUCAAAACUAAAUAAAUAAACAAUAAUUGUGUUAUUCUGUCUCCAUUUCUCGCAUACUGAAUUUAAGGUGGACUCAGCCAGCGGGUUCAGGCCCAGGGUCUGUCCUGCAGCUACAGUCAGGGUUGGUGGCUGCAGCUGUCAUGGGGGAGCGGUGAGGUUGGGGGAACAGGGGGGCUGGCCUGCAUCCCCCACUUUCAGGUGGGCUCAACUCCGUCUCGUGGCCUAUUGGGGGCCAGCAUGGGCUUCCUUACAGCAUGGAGGCCUCCAGGGUCAAGCUGCCUCUGGGAUGGCAGAGGGCUUUGUGUUCGUGCUCCCACGCCCACAGUGGAGGCAAUACACCCUUUCCAGAUCUAGCAGUACAGGUGCGCAGCACCACACCUCUGUACGCUCUCAGCCUAAGCUGUCCCCAGCCCUCCUGGCCUCUGGAGGAGGGGACGCAGAAACUCCAUCCCGGACAGAGGGAGAGCCAGUGUGUGCACAGGCAGCUUCUAACACUGCUUCGUGGUUUCACACGGCUCCCUCAUGGAGAAGGGGCUGGAGGAGGACAGGGAGGUGUGCAGUCAUCUGGGUGACAUAUGAGGGUGGCUGGGCUUCCAGAUGGCUGCAGUGGAGACCGUAAGAAGAGUGCACGAGGUAAGGCUUCCGAAACGCCCAGCAGGUUCCUGGCAGCUGCAGACAACUCAAUUCUUAGCACUUGCCAAUAGCUGGGGUGUAAACACUCCCGCCGUCGCUAUUUCGGGCUAUGCUCCUUGCCUCCACUGGGUCUGGCUCUUAAAACAGCAAGAAAGCAACUCGGAAGCUGAGUCAGCCCCGUCUCUCCACCGUGCCCACAGAUCCUUCCCUGUUCCAGAGCUCCCGUUGGCAGCCAGCUGGGCUUCUCAGGGGGCAUCUCCAGUCCUGUGCAGUCAGAGAAAACCAGGGAAGCAUCUUGAUCUCACCUAGAAAUUAAGGCCAUCACAUCCAACACCUGCAUUUUACAGAAAACCACUGAUGAUGUGCAGGAGAAUCACAGCUGGGAAGAAACACAGGAGGACCUUUUCCUUCAUCACCAACCAUGCCCCCCCCCAGCCUCCACCCCCGCCCCGAGGGAGAGGCCUGGGGAGCACAGGCUACUUUCUGAGCUUCCGGAAGUUGCAGGUCAACCUGGCGGCAAUUUGGCACCAGGAGCCACCAGUGUGGCCGCGGCCCCUGACCCUGUAAUCCCACAUCGGGCACCCAGCCUAAGAAAACGACACGUUUGCUUCAAGGGCUCAGAGCACCAGGAUUUAAAACAGCAACUAGGAACAACCUAAGAUCCUAGGUGCUCCGAGAUCAAGAUGCCAGAAAAUAAAUCAAAUCAAAUCAAAUCCCAGGCGCAAACGGCCCUCGUGUUCUUACCCCUCCUCUCGCUGUUGGAAAUCGCGGCUCCAUUUAUGGGUGGACAGAAAGACAGCCUCCUAGCACCGGGCUUAUAGCUUCCACGCCCUGUUCUUCUCCAAGCCCUCGCCCG